rnacentral:tRNA from 1 species
CAUUAAGAAGCUUUCAAAUAAGCAAUAGCCUUUUAAGCUAGAGAUCGGUGAUUGAACCCACCCUUAGUGA